UAGUUAGAACUAUUAUAAAUAUAGUCUUAUACAAAACUGAUAUAUAAUUAUUAAUUCUAAAAAUAGAAGUAUACAAAGAAACUAUUAUGGAAUUUAAGCUAUGUGUUAAAGAGAAUAAGUUACAUAAAUAAGAAAAAAAAUUCUUAUAAAUGUAUAAACUCUAAGAGAAAUCUAAUAUAAACGAAGUGAAUUGAAAUAUCUUAGUAACU
rnacentral:rRNA from 1 species